GAUUUUAGCCAUAAGAAUUUUCCUAUGUGCGCAUGCAAAACCCUAAUGCUCGGAUCUAGGCUUUCUAAUUAAACAUGCUUUGAAUCCAAGACUUCUAAUGACUAAUUAGAUAUAAGAACAAUAUAAAAUCAGAUCUAGAAGUUUACCUUUGAACCUCUUGUUUGAUCUUGUUGUCUUGGAGCUCUAGAGUCACAAUUGUCACUCCUCUAAUGGCUUACAAACACCAACUAGCAAAGAUGAUGAUUUGAUAGAGAGAUUAGGGAUGAAAUUCGGCUAGGGUUUCUUCUCCUUAGAAGAGGUGCCAACCCCCUUAGCUCUAGGGGUCUAUUUAUACUUGUAGACUCCUUAAGGGUUUCACCUUAAACCCUAGUUGGAUAAUCUUUUCUUAAAGCAAUCCAAAUCCCUACCAUGGAUAAGCCUUGGACAAUUUUGAGCUAUCCUUAGCUCUAGAAUUCGUCCAUCCUCUAUCCAAUAAGGAUUUACAGUCUAAAGUGUAACUAUCAAACCAUUGACAGUUUAUACCCUCUUAUUUAAUUAAUCUCUUUAAGUCACCAAAUUAAUUCUAAUUAAUUCUAUGACUUAUAUUAAUCAAAUAACAAUAUUAUUAUUCUUUAUAUUAUUCUCAUAAUAUAUUAAUAAUAUUUAUUCUCUCAUAAUAAAUCAUCCUGUCAAGUUGCUAUGGUGAAGGCAACCCAAAAGGACCAUGCACAAUCGGGUCAAAUACUUGCCUAAUAUAGUUGCAGCCUUAGACACUAUUCCAACAGUCUCUCACUUGGAUAAGUCUAGUAACUAUAUGCACAAGUACAAUCUGAUUUGCAAUCGUAGCUCUCAAAGACGCUGUCAAACUCUGAUCUAAUCAAUCUUGUCCUUUAGAUAAGGGAUCGUACAGUCCUCUGUUAGAUAUCAUGCUGACAAUUCUAUGGAAUGAUUAGUCAAGCAUUUAGGUUUCUCGAUCUCUGAUUUAUUUGACAUAGAACUUAAUCGAACACAUCAAUUCAGUUCUGACCGGGCCCGGCACAUAAGUCAAAUCAAAUCAUCGAGCGGCCGAGAUAUCGCUUUUACCUUCUUAGAUAAAAGUUACAGAUAAACUUCGACUUAUAUGCAUUUACUUAUUCAUUAACCAACUAUACACAACAAUACGUUUUAUAACACCAAGUUACUGAUGCGUUUUCGUAUUAUCAAUGUACAAUCAAUUAACAAAUAAUAAACCAUAUAUCUAGGUUUUAAGACUAUAUGAUAUUAUCGUCUUGCGAUCACCUUUUAUAUCGUAUUCCAUAAGGUGAUUCCAGCAAGCGCGGGUUUAUUCCAAUGCUCAAAACUAGUUCAUAAGCACUCAUGAACGUUGCAGCAAUCCUUUGCUAUGUCUAACACCAUUUAGACAUUCUACACACCAAUUCAUGACAAUCUUCAUUCAUAUCUACUUCCAACAUAUGAACGAUUGUGGACCAUUUGAACAAUUCGAUUAUUCCUAAUAAACUCAAUUAUUCUGGAAGUCAAAACAUGCAAAGUGAAACAAUAGCUAAACAAUUAACAUAAGAUAGUAACAUUACUCAUAAAUAAAACUCCUUUAUUUAAUCAUCAAAUGUCAAUUACAUUUAUCUAUUACACGUUUCUAAUACUAUCUAAUCUAUGCUAAUAUCAUCCUUCAGCCCAAUACUCCUAGCAUGCUGCAAGUGCUUAACCCUACUCAGUCCCUUCGUAAGCGGAUCUGCUGGGUUAUCUUCUGAUGAUAUCCUCUUCACUACGAGUUGUCCUUCUUCUACACGAUGUCUAAUGAAGUGAUACUUUCUGUCGAUAUGUCUUGAUCUACCAUGAUCCCUCGGUUCCUUGGUCAAGGCAACCGCGCCUUCGUUAUCACAGAAAAUCUCCAUUGGCUCCUUUAUGGCAGGUACAACUCCAAGAUCACCGAUGAAGUUCUUUAGCCAUAUUGCCUCCUUCGACGCUUCGCUCGCUGCAAUGUACUCUGAUUCGCACGUUGAAUCAGCUACGGUUUCCUGCUUGGAACUCUUCCAUGUCACUGCUCCUCCAUUUAGGGUAAAGACCCAGCCCGACUGCGAACGGUAGUUGUCCCUGUCGGUCUGAAAACUGGCGUCACUAUACCCUCGCACCUUCAAGUCAUCACUCCCUCCGAGGACUAAGAACCAUUCCUUCGUCCUCCGAAGGUACUUAAGGAUAUUCUUCACCGCAAUCCAAUGUGCUUUGCCAGGAUUCCCUUGAUAUCUGCUAACCAUGCUCAAAGCGAAGGCUACAUCAGGGCGAGUACAAGUCAUAGCGUACAUGAUUGAGCCAACUGCGGAAGCGUAUGGUACUCGGCUCAUUUCUGCUAUCUCAGCUUCGGUACUCGGACUUUGAGUCUUACUCAAUUUGGCAUUACUUUGUAUCGGUAGUUCUCCCUUCUUUGAGUUUUCCAUACUAAAACGUUUUAGUACCUUCUCUAAGUAAGUAUUCUGACUAAGUCCAAUUAGUCUCUUACUUCUUUCUCUUACUAUCCUUAUUCCCAAAAUGUAAGAAGCCUCUCCGAGGUCCUUCAUAGCGAAGCACUUCCCGAGCCAGGACUUAACCUCCUGCAGAGUCGGGAUGUCGUUUCCUAUGAGUAAUAUGUCAUCGACAUAUAGAACGAGGAAGCUUACUAUACUCCCACUGGCUUUGACAUAUACACAAGAUUCGUCUUCGCUUCGUACAAAUCCAAACUCUUUGACUUUCUCAUCGAAGCAAAGAUUCCAUCUGCGAGACGCUUGCUUAAGUCCAUAAAUGGACUUCUCAAGCUUACACACUCUAUUCGGAUGCUUCGGAUCCACAAACCCCUCUGGCUGAGCCAUGUAAACAUCCUCAGCCAACUUUCCGUUAAGGAAAGCGGUCUUGACAUCCAUUUGCCAAAUCUCAUAAUCAUGAAAUGCGGCAAUUGCUAGCAUCACUCUAAUAGAUUUAAUCUUCGCAACUGGUGAGAAGGUCUCAUCAUAGUCAACUCCGGGAGUUUGAGUAAAGCCCUUCGCAACCAAUCGCGCUUUAUAUGUGUGUACGUUUCCAUCCACGUCGGUCUUCUUCUUGAAGAUCCAUUUGCACCCAACGGUCUUACGUCCGGGCACAUAAUCAACCAAAUUCCAAACUUGGUUAUCAUACAUGGAUUGGAUCUCGCUAUCCAUUGCCUCUUUCCAUUUUGCAGACUCCGGGCCUGCCAUGGCUUCCUUAUAGCUAUUAGGUUCAUCAAGAUUUAUUAGUGUACCAUCACUAAUAUACGUGUCCCCUUCGGUAGUAAUAUGAAAACCAUAAAACUGGGGUUGAACUCUAACUCUAUCGGAACGUCUAAGAGGUAAGGAUUCGUCAAUCGGUUCAACCGGAGUUUCCUCCUCGGGUUGAGUGCCAGCGGUAGAGGUUCCUUCAUCUAUCGACUCUUGAAUCUCUUCAAGCUCGAUUUGCCUCCCACUGUCUCCUUGGCUUAUGAGUUCUCGCUCUCGGAAAACUCCUCUCCUCGCAACGAAGACAACAUUGUCCUUCGGUCUAUAGAAGAGAUAUCCAAAGGAUGUCUGCGGGUAGCCGAUGAAAAUACAUCGCUCACUUCGAGGUUCAAGCUUGUCGUGAGUAUCUCGUCUUACGAAAGCCUCGCAACCCCAAACCUUGAUAUGUGCCAACGAGGGAGCUUUCCCUGUCCACAUCUCGUGAGGUGUUUUGGCAACCUUCUUAGUAGGGACUCGGUUAAGGAUAUGGGCGGCAGUCUCUAAGGCAUACCCCCAAAAAGAGAUAGGUAGUGAAGCACGACUCAUCAUAGAGCGAACCAUAUCCAAUAAGGUUCGAUUACGCCUUUCUGCCACACCAUUCAACUGCGGUGUCCUAGGAGGCGUCAAUUGCGAAACUAUUCCACACUCCUUGAGAUAAUCGUGGAAUUCAAGACUUAGGUACUCUCCUCCUCGAUCGGAUCGAAGCAUCUUGAUUUUCCUGCCCAAUUGAUUCUCCACUUCAUUCUUGAACUCUUUGAACUUUUCAAAGGUGUCUGACUUUUGCUUGAUUAAGUAGAUAUACCCAUAUCUACUAUAGUCAUCGGUAAAAGUCACAUAGAAGCGGUUCCCAUCCUUCGUGGUUGAUCUAAACGGUCCACAUACAUCGGUAUGUAUUAGGUCCAAUAGACCCUCGCCCCUUUCACAUGUACUCGUGAAGGGUGACUUAGUCAUCUUUCCAAGCAAACAAGACUCGCAUGUGUCAUCUUCCCUAAGGUCGAAUGACUCCAACACUCCAUCCUUUUGGAGUUGGGCUAUGCGUUUCUUGUUGACAUGUCCAAGACGACAAUGCCACAAGGAUGCUUUAUCCAUACUAGUGGAAGAAUCAAUAUUCAAAACAUCAUUUCCUAAGUUAUCAACAAUCAUAACGGUUUCAUAUAUUCCAUUACAUGGUAUAGCUUCAAAGUAAAAGACACCAUUUAGAUAAGCCAAAAUAGAACCAUUCUCAUUAUUAAAAGAAAAUCUAAAUCCUUGUCUAUAUAAACCAUGAAAUGAAAUGAUGUUUCUUGCCAUUUCUGGCGAAUAGCAACAAUUGUUCAAAUCUAAAACUAAACUAUUCCUAAGCACUAAGGAAUACACUCCAAUCUUGGUCACAGGCGACGAUCUUCUGUUCCCCAUGAUUAGAUUGAUCCUUCCUUGCUCCACAUCCCUACUUCUUCUUAGUCCCUGCACAUUAGAACAAAUGUGAUAACCACAACCGGUAUCAAGAACCCAAGAAAUAGCAUGAUUAGAAUCGUUAGAUUUGAUUGUAUAUAUACCUGCGAAAGAUGGCUUGAUCUUUCCUUCUUUGAUUGCUUGCAGGUAAUCCGGGCAGCUUCUCUUCCAAUGUCCUAUCUUGUGGCAGUGGUGGCACUCUGCCUCCUUCGGGUUAGAGCAGGGCUUGGCGGGAUCAACUUUGGUCCCACUAGAAGAGGCACCAUCUCGGGCUUUCACCUUGCGAUAGUUCUUCGAUGAAGCUUUCCUCUUCUUUCCCUUCCCUUGUCCAAUAGCCAAGACAGGAGCAGCGGGCGGAUUGGGAGUAGGUGCAACAGACUUGUCUUUGAAGUUGCUCUCAGCAACCCUCAAGAGACCUUGGAGCUUGCUUAGGGUGACCUCUUCUUUGUUCAUGUGGUAGGUCAUCCUAAAUUGGUUGUACAUCGGAGGCAAAGAGUGAAGCACCAUGUCGAUCGCCAAGUCUUCACCGAAGUCAACAUUUAACUUGCGAAGGCGGUCAACAUACCUUUGCAUCUUUUGCAAGUGCACGGUAAGAGAUUCUCCAUGACCCAUCUUCGCGGAAAUCAUGUUAGUGAAAAUCUCGUACCUCUCUUGUCUCGCGUUUUGGUGGUACCUCUCCAAUAAGUCUUGAUGCAUCUCGUACGGGUACAUGUCCUCGUAGGACUUUUGGAAUUCGGAGUUCAUGGUGGCGAUCAUGAUGCAAUGUACCUUCGUUGCAUCUCGCUCAUGAGUUUCAAAGGCGGUGAUUUCGGCGGGAGUAGCAAUUUCGGGGUUGAUUUUCUCGAGCUUCUCAUCGAGGACAUACUCCUUAUCCUCAUAGCGAGCAAUGGUGCGAAUGUAUCUUAUCCAUUCGCUAAAGUUCGUUCCAUCGAAGGUGACCUUUUGGCAAAGGCUCAUCAACGUGAAAGAACUAGCAGCAGCGUUGUUUGCGUUCGACAUCUACAAUUAGAAAAGGACAAAGAUAGAUUAGAAUAAGAAUCCCUAAUUAUCACCCAAUAAGAAAAUUAGGGCUAGGAUCCAACAAUAACAUUUACAUACUAGAAAAGGGAUGCCGUAAUCUAACAUGCAAAUAAAUUGAAGGUAAGUGAAUGACGAUUCACUAAUUCUCCAUCACAAAACUUAAACUAUUAGUCCUAAGUGUUUUUGAGAAUUCCUAGGUUCGGAUGAGAUUCAUUGAAACUAUUCAAUGGCAUGUUUAAAUCUCGAUAUGCCCCUCUUGUUUGUGACUGGGAUGCCGAGGAUCACAAAGCGGGUGUGAAUUACCAUGCAAAUUCACAUGGUGCCUUCAUUGUAACGAUCACCUAUUCGAUGUGCCGGUAAACCACACACGCUCCAUCGAACUAUGAUAAACAAUGAAUCACCCUUUGCCACCUUCGCUUAGAACCAAUUAGUGUGCCGGUAAACCACACACGCUCCACUAACAUCUUAGCAAGGUGCAAAGUGUAAUUUCAUGGGAUUGCAUCAAUUCACUUUUCCUAAAGUAACUAGGAUUGGGAAAUUUUAAAAAAAUAUGUAGUUACUUUAUAUUUCUUAUUAUACUUUUAAUGAGAGGAUGAGGUUGCCCUAUCCUACCCGUUCGGCUAACGACCCUCCACCAAUCAAGCAAGCGGUGGGUGUGAGUGUACACCCAUUAAGCGCCAUUUUAUAGGCCGCAACCUUAUACCCACCUUAUAGAUCGGCUUCGUGAAUGAGGCCUACUAACGGUAAGACUAGCAUUUAGUUAUACAUAUAUAUAUUAUUCUAGUAAUAUCAUAUUAGUAUAGGGUUGUAUUUUAAAACUUUUAAAAUCUAGGGUUUGAAAUUUAAGUUGUCUAAAUUAAAACUUUUAAUCACAAAAGUAAAUUUCAAAACAUGAGGGUAGGUUUUAAACAUUUAAAACAUGGAGGAUCAAAUAACAAAUAAUUCCAAUUAACAAUUAAUAUCCUAAUUAUCUAUAUUUGAUUUAUUCAAGAUUUCUUUUAAAGAUAAUUACCAAAAUAAUCAAAAUAAUUAAUUAAUUAUCAUAUAAGGAAAUUAAAUAUUUAAUUAGUUGAUAAUUACCUUUAACUAGAUCAAGAUAAUAGUUAUAUUUAUCAGAAAAACGAAUUAAUGUUGAUCUAAUUAGUUUAUGGUAAGUUAAGAUAAGAUAAACACAAAGAAAUCCCGAAUCUGGCCAUUCCUGACGCCUGGACUCGCCGAGUGCACAAAUGGACUCGCCGAGUCAGGCCUACUCGCCGAGUCCACUUUGAGACUCGCCGAGUCCAUGACUCAGAAACCAAAAAUUCGAAUUUUGCAGGUUUGUUUCAGUUAAUCAAGCAACAAUUUACAGAAAACCAAGCUAGGCUCUGAUACCACUGAUGGGUUUUAGCCAUAAGAACUUUCCUAUGUGCGCAUGCAAAACCCUAAUGCUUGGAUCUAGGCUUUCUAAUAAACAUGCUUUGAAUCCAAGACUUCUAAUUACUAAUUAGGUUAAACAAGAACAUUAAAACAGAUCUAGAAUCAUACCUUUGAGUUCCUUGUUGAUCUUGAGGUCUUGGAGCUUCUAGAGUCACAAAUGUCACUCCUCUAAUGGCUUACAAACACCAAAGCAAGGAGGAUGAUUUGGGAGAGAGGAGAGGGGAGGAAUUUCGACCAGAGGUUCCUUACUUUAGGUCAAGUGUCGAAUUCCAUCAGCCAUGGGGUCUAUUUAUACUUGUAGACUCCUUAAGGGUUUCACCUUAAACCCCAGUUGGAUAAUCUUUCAUUAAAGCAAUCCAAAUCCCUACCAUGGAUAAUCCUUGGACGAUUUUGAGCUAUCCUUAGCUCUAGAAUUCGUCCAUCCUCUAUCCAAUAAGGAUUUACAGUCUAAAGUGUAACUAUCAAACAAUUGACAGUUUAUACCCUCUUAUUAAAUUAAUCUCUUUAAGUCACCAAAUUAAUUCUAAUUAAUUCUAUGACUUUAAUUAAUCAAAUAACAAUAUUAUUAUUCCUUAUAUUAUACUUAUAGUAUAUAAAUAAUAUUUAUUCUCUCAUAAUAAAUCAUCCUGACAAGUUGCUAUGGUGAAGGCAACCCAAAAGGACCAUGCACAAUCAGGUCAAAUACUUGCCUAAUAUAGUUGCAGCCUUAGACACUAUUCCAACAGAUAGCAAGUAUAAUUAAUCAUACAGAUCUAGCAAGCUAACAUAUAAUGCCUAUAGCAUCAUCCUAUAUACUAGGAUAUGACCUAGUGGGUCGGCAUUGGUGCCUUCAACCCACAAGUAUAGUGAAAAUAAACUCACUUGAAACGAAGGACCCAGAAAC
rnacentral:lncRNA from 1 species